UCUUUCUCUCUAUUUAAUAAUCUACUAGUACAAAACACAAACCCUACCGUUAGUUUCAUUCAUACAUCAAUCAAAUCAACAUCCAAUAGAGCAGUAUAGUCUCCACUGCCUCUUUCUCUUCUCCGUCGAUCACUUCCUUCUAAACGAUGUCGUAUCGUCCAAACGCAAACUCAAGGACCGAGGUCCGUCGCAACCGAUACAAGGUCGCCGUCGAUGCCGAAGAAGGCCGCCGUCGCCGUGAAGACACCAUGGUUGAGAUCCGUAAGAAUCGUCGUGAAGAGAGUUUGCUCAAAAAGAGGCGCGAAGGUCUUCAACCUCAGCAGAUUCCUUCCGCUCUUCACUCUAACGUCGUCGAGAAGAAGUUGGAACAUUUGCCAACUAUGGUUGCUGGUGUGUGGAGUGAUGAUAAUAACUUGCAGCUUGAAUCAACGACUCAGUUUCGAAAGCUGCUAUCUAUUGAACGUACUCCACCGAUUGAGGAGGUUAUACAGACUGGUGUUGUUUCUCGUUUUGUCGAGUUUCUGAUGAGGGAAGACUUUCCGCAGUUGCAGUUUGAGGCAGCUUGGGCUUUGACAAACAUAGCUUCUGGAACAUCUGAAAACACUAAGGUGGUAAUUGACCAUGGGGCUGUCCCAAUUUUUGUGAAGCUCCUUGCUUCUUCCAGCGACGAUGUCCGUGAGCAGGCUGUGUGGGCAUUAGGAAAUGUUGCUGGAGAUUCUCCCAGAUGUCGUGAUCUUGUUCUCGGUCACGGGGCUUUGGUUCCUCUUUUGGCACAAUUGAAUGAGCAUGCGAAGCUUUCUAUGCUGAGAAAUGCUACCUGGACACUUUCAAACUUCUGCAGGGGCAAGCCACAGCCUCCUUUUGAUCAGGUUAAACCUGCACUUCCUGCUCUUGCUGGUCUUAUACAUUCAAAUGAUGAAGAAGUCUUGACUGAUGCCUGCUGGGCACUAUCAUAUCUUUCUGAUGGUACAAACGAUAAAAUUCAAGCUGUAAUUGAAGCUGGUGUUUGUCCCCGACUUGUUGAGCUUCUAUUGCACCCAUCUCCUUCAGUGCUAAUUCCUGCUCUUCGUACUGUUGGAAACAUUGUCACUGGAGAUGAUUUGCAAACUCAGGUUAUCAUCAAUCAUCAGGCUCUUCCUUGUCUAUACAAUCUGUUGACCAAUAAUUAUAAGAAAAGCAUCAAGAAGGAAGCUUGCUGGACCAUAUCAAACAUUACAGCUGGGAAUAAACAGCAGAUUCAGGCUGUGAUCGAGGCCAAUAUAUUUGGUCCUCUGGUGAGUCUGCUUCAAAAUGCUGAGUUUGAUAUCAAGAAAGAGGCUGCUUGGGCUAUUUCUAAUGCUACAUCUGGUGGAUCUCACGAACAAAUCAAGUACCUAGUAAGUCAAGGGUGUAUUAAGCCCUUGUGUGAUCUUCUUAUCUGUCCCGAUCCUAGGAUUGUGACAGUUUGUCUGGAAGGCCUUGAAAACAUCUUGAAGGUUGGAGAAGCGGAUAAAAAUAUAGGCAAUAAUGGUGAUGUGAAUCUAUAUGCCCAGAUGAUUGAUGAUGCUGAGGGGUUGGAGAAAAUUGAGAACCUCCAGAGUCAUGACAACACAGAGAUUUAUGAAAAGGCUGUGAAGAUUCUUGAGACAUACUGGUUGGAGGAAGAAGAUGAGACCAUGCCUCCAGGCGAUGCUUCUCAAUCAGGAUUCAACUUCGGUAGCGCUGAGGUUCCUUCUGUGCCUUCGGGUGGAUUUAACUUCAAUCAGUAGAUGUUCAUGCUUCAAUGGGGCCGUGUCUUAUAUUUAGCCUUUUCUGGUUCGUCUGCAAAUUUCUGAGUUUUGUCUGGUCUAUCAUUAAAGUCACCCCGUAUGAUGGGACAAGCUGGGGUUGAAUCAAUGUGUUGUUUCUGUGUCCAACAAGGUCCAACAUUGGUAAAUAGAGCGUUGCUGGAUUGGCUUGGGCAAUGCCUGGUUUUUCAUAUCUCAUGGUGACAGAUGUGUGGUGGCUUGAUUUUUUGGUCACCGUAGACAAUACUAGACUUCUCUGUGAAGUGAUAAUACAUAAAAUGAAUGUUCAGUAUCAUGAUUUUUUCUUGGUUAUAUGUAAUAGUUUGGAGUCAGUGAGUGAGUCACUUAAGUUUUAGUUACGAUUGUGGGUCUAUUUGGCAAAAUGCCAGAUGCUCGUUGGAGUUUUUACCCAUCGGUACCUAUGAAUUUUUUUGGUCGAUGAAAGUUUACCCUAGAGUUCAGUUAUUCAUUAUGUUAUCCAUAUAUCCAGUGUCCCUAUUUUCGUCGAUGAAAGUUUGUUUUGCAAUGUCUUAAACAAAUAGUGUGGUGCAAUUAUUUUGUAUUAUAUAAAGUUUCACGCAAUUUCUAUC